rnacentral:tRNA from 1 species
GUGGGGGUCGGUGGAAGGCUGGUUAAACACUUUGGUUUUCGACCACUAGGACCUGGGUUCGAUUCCCGGCCCCCGAUU